rnacentral:lncRNA from 1 species
UUGUGUGGCAUCUUUCCGAACUCCCCUGACCGUCCGAGCUUCCAUAAUACCAUUCGGACUUCUCCGAUAAUGAGCUCCUCCAUUCAUCUACCGGGCUGCUCCAAGUACUUUUUGAGCUUCACUAUCAGUCGAUUUUCUACAGUGAUCGACUAUUCUCCGAAUCUCUUCCAGACUUCUUCCAGCCACGGACGACUUUACUCUGAACUUCUUUCGAACUUCGUCAAUG